GACGAACCGUGCGAACGUUGUUCGGAAUCACUGGGCGUAAAGCGCGUGUAGGCGGCUAAGUAAGUCGGGCGUGAAAUCCCACGGCUCAACCGUGGAAGUGCACUCGAAACUGCAUAGCUAGAGUCCUGGAGAGGAAGGUGGAAUGCUUGGUGUAGAGGUGAAAUUCGUAGAUAUCAAGCGGAACACCGGUGGCGAAGGCGGCCUUCUGGACAGUGACGUGACGGCUG
rnacentral:rRNA from 1 species